UCAGACGGUCGGAUGGCCGCCUUCGUUGCCGACUAGUCGGCGCGGGGGAGGAAAGUCCGGGCUCCACGGAAACACGGUGCCGGGUAACGCCCGGCGGGGGCGACCCUAGGGAAAGUGCCACAGAAAGCAAACCGCCGGUCCGCGGUUCGGCCUUCGGGCCGGGCCGCCGGCCGGCAAGGGUGAAAGGGUGCGGUAAGAGCGCACCGCGUCCCCGGCGACGGGGACGGCACGGUAAACCCCACCGGGAGCAAGACCGAGUAGGGGCGGCAGGCCGAGAGGCCGGGCGGGUUUCCGCGCCGCCGCCCGGGUAGGUCGCGCGAGGCGUCCGGCAACGGGCGUCCCAGAUGAAUGGCCAUCCCCCUUCGGGGGACAGAACCCGGCUUACAGGCCGUCUGGCAUU
rnacentral:RNase_P_RNA from 1 species